UACGGAGGAUCCGAGCGUUAUCCGGAUUUAUUGGGUUUAAAGGGUGCGCAGGCGGAAGAUUAAGUCGGUGGUGAAAUUUUGCAGCUCAACUGUAAAAGUGCCAUUGAUACUGGUUUUCUUGAGUGUAGCUGAAGUAGGCGGAAUUUGUGGUGUAGCGGUGAAAUGCAUAGAUAUCACGAGGAACUCCGAUUGCGCAGGCAGCUUACUAAACUACUACUGACGCUCAGGCACGAAGGCGUGGGGAUCAAACAGGAUUAGAUA
rnacentral:rRNA from 1 species